rnacentral:rRNA from 1 species
UGCUAGUUGUGCGGGUUUAGGCCCGCAGCGGAAAGCUCAGUAACACGUGGCCAAACUACCCUGUGGAUGGGAACAAUCUCGGGAAACUGAGGCUAAUUCCCAAUAACGCUCCACCCCUGGAACGGGCGGAGCUGGAAACGCUACGGCGCCACAGGAUGUGGCUGCGGUCGAUUAGGUAGACGGUGGGGUAACGGCCCACCGUGCCAAUAAUCGGUACGGGUUGUGAGAGCAAGAGCCCGGAGACGGAAUCUGAGACAAGAUUCCGGGCCCUACGGGGCGCAGCAGGCGCGAAACCUUUACACUGUACGCAAGUGCGAUAAGGGGACUCCGAGUGUGAAGGCAUAGAGCCUUCACUUUUGUACACCGUAAGGUGGUGUACGAAUAAGGGCUGGGCAAGACCGGUGCCAGCCGCCGCGGUAAUACCGGCAGCCCGAGUGAUGGCCGAUAUUAUUGGGCCUAAAGCGUCCGUAGCUGGCCGGACAAGUCCGUUGGGAAAUCUGUUCGCUUAACGAGCAGGCGUCCAGCGGAAACUGUUCGGCUUGGGACCGGAAGACCUGAGGGGUACGUCCGGGGUAGGAGUGAAAUCCUGUAAUCCUGGACGGACCACCGGUGGCGAAAGCGCCUCAGGAGGACGGAUCCGACAGUGAGGGACGAAAGCUAGGGUCUCGAACCGGAUUAGAUACCCGGGUAGUCCUAGCUGUAAACGAUGCCCGCUAGGUGUGGCGCAGGCUACGAGCCUGCGCUGUGCCG